AACAAGAAUGGCAUACUAAAUUUAAUUCCUUUGAUUUCUAUUAUCAAUAAAUACAAAGAAUUUGUUGAGGUUAAUGUACAAAAAAUCUGCUUUUCACCCACCUCUAAAACACAAACCGCAUAAAUGAUUUACAUCUUUGUUCUAGAAAGAAUCAACACUCUAAACAUAAACUAUUAUCAAACCCAUCACUAGCUUUUGCAUGCCUGUUAUAAUAUACCAUCUAACAUUGCUAGCAUAAUCCCUUUCAAACAGGAACUUUAGAAAAGAAAAGGGGUAAUCUGUACACCACAGAUAAAAAAAAAUCAUACUACUUCCUCCAUUGCAAACCUUUUAUCUUCUCUAGAAAUCUGCUUCUCAAUGACUUGGGCAACAUGAUAUAGAUACUGCAUCAAAAUGAUGCUCCUUUCUCAGAGCAAAAAUAGUCCAAAUCUACAAGGCUAAUCAAUGUACGGUGCUUGGGCUUCCUCAAACAAACAGCAUCUGGAGGUAAAAUGCAGUCCCAAAACGAGUAGCAGUAUGACAUUGAAGCUAUUUGACACGGAAUUCAUGCCUGAAAACAGCCAGAUUCUGAGUAAACCUGUCCCUGUUCUUUGAAUCCAAGCUCUGAGUAACAUCAGCCAUCAGUUUGUCGAAACAAAGGGAAAGCCGCUGAUGUUGAUCCACUGGCUGCAAACAAGAUGCAAAAUGUCACCAGAAGAUUGAUAUUGUGCAGACAGCCAAACACAAACAACCACAAAUUUUUAGCAAUCCAAGUUCACCCAUUCAUUAAAAGCAACCUUCUUCUUACUCCUAAAUACAUAACCCCUGAUAAUUCUUUUGACCCAAAUGCUUCAAACUUUUUUUACAUUCAACCCAACAAGAAUUGAGCUAUCUAACAUAAAACUUUGGCAAAUUCAAAAUUAAAACAAAACUAUUAAUCUUUUAGAAUUACCCUCCAUUGCAUUUGCACCUACAUAUCACACAAUAAGACCCAACAUACAAGUAUUAACUGGACUCCAUUCUUCAGUUUAAAGAUGGUACAUUUAUUAAAAAAAAUGCACGCAGAAAAACACUUACUUGUGAAGAUAAAAUUUGAGCUUUCAAAUCAGAGAAUAUCUGCUCACUAAUAAGAAUUAAGCUCAGCAUAGGUCUACUGAGACUCCACUGGUUGCCACAAUCCUCAAAUAAAACAAUCUCAAACAGGGUCUUCAGUAUCUGUAGAUUUAUAAAAAAAGAAUUACAUACACAUAUAUUUAGUAAAUAAUAAAUGUUCAAGAAAACAUAACUUCCUGUCAACUUAGAAUAAGUUUCGAAUUUCAUAAAAACUGGAAAAUUCAUAAAUUCCAAACAAUAAUCCUAUUCUUUCAAAUAGAAUCUCAAUUGAAGAGACACCCACACACACUAAUAAAAAAAAUAAAAAAUGUAUAAAAGGAUGCAAAACCAGGAGAAAGCUCCAGAGGACAUAUCAACUAAAUAGCGGAGUAACACAAGAAAGGCAGCAAAUUGAUUCCAGCAUUGUCUUUCACCAGAAAAACAUUUUUCCCCUUCGAAAGGCACAAGAGAGUAACCUUUGUAAUAAAGAAAAAUAAAAGCUUACUUCUGGAAAUAAAUUAGGGCAGUCUGCAAUAUGUCGAGCAAGAUUAAUUGCAGCAGGUGAAGUGGGUGCCUCCCCCAUUGUGAUGUUGUUAAAAUAGAAAGCAGCCAAAUUAUCAACAGCAGAUGCACACUGUUAUGGCAUUCAGAUUUGUUAGCUUGAAACAAAUGUAAAACAUUCAAGAUAAAACCAGGCGAGUUAUUAUGCUCAAGAAAGAUGUUUAACUAUCUCUAUUGUAAAAAGACAAGAUGUAGGUAGUUAAGAAGAAUAAUGGCCAUCUGUAGCCUAAGAGUGACACACCUGCGAUGAGAUAUUUGUAUCCAAACCUUUAAGACCAGAUUCUAGAGAGCCAACAAUAUGCAUGAAGGUGUUUGUGUCCAGAUUCAAAAUAAAAACAAUAUGGCUGCUGAACAGAACCUCCAAGAAUGCAAAGUAAGCUCUUGUCAGCUUCCGGUAUGCCAAUAUAUCAGCUAGAGGUAUUGAUAGUGUCAUCUUUAGAGCAAUAUCGAGUACAUCAGCGAGGGCUCUAUCACCAUAAAGUUCAAACACGCCAAAGUUGACAUAGUUUCCCGCAAGAGCUCUAGAGAGAAUAGUUAAGCAUAUCCAUAUUCCCUUGUAUUUGUAGGCAUAUAUAUCAGCAGCAUUUGGAAGAGCUAAGAUCCUGGUGCCAUAGGCUACAAUGAGCUUGCUGACCUCCCGGAAAAGAAGAAUGCCAUUAGGAGAAGAAGAAUCAAACGUUAAACGUUGGGCUUUGUUUAACACAAAUUCAGCCAUGAAUUUCAACAAUGGGGUAGUAACCUCUGGUGUAUCUGCCCAAUGUGAGAUGCCUUUCAAGAGAAGUGACAAAUGAGCAGGAUAUAGCCAAUCAAAUAAAAGCCCAUAAGUUCUGCGACUAUUUGUAGCCAUAGCAAUUCCUCUAAGAUCCCUCAUCAAGCCAAUUAGAGCAUACUUUACUGCUUCAGUUCGAAACAUUGAAUCAGGUGUUGAUUCCAAACUGAUAAAAACUUGCAAAAGUGGUUCCAUUGAAGACUUGAAUUUCACUGGGCUGUCGUCCAUAAAUAUUAACCAACCAAUAGUGUAAUAAAAUGUUGUUCUGCUACGAGAGCAUCUAUACUCUUCUAGAAAAGGAAAGUGCUCCCUAGUAUGGUUAGCGACUAUAAAUUUAAUAGCAUCCAACUUCAGAAGCAACUUCCCAGUCAUAUAGCCAGAUGCCAACUCCAAAAACAAAUUUAAUGUGUGAUCAAUGACUUCCUCACUCUGUGUAUAACACUUAAGAUUAGUAGCAAUCUUCCUGACAAUCACAUUUAAUAAUACCAGAUGAUCGUGUAGUCCAAGAAGCUCAGACAAUCGAGCAUAUAACUGCUUGGAUGAGUGCACAGCCUGAUCACCUACAUAAGACUUUCGGAAAUGCUGAAAGAAGAUGAGAAUUGCUCGAUCAAGUCUUUGCUUACUCAGUUCGCCAUAUCUCUGACUAUGUAGCCCACUAUCACUGACAUUUAUUAAUUGCAAAACACGAGCUGAAAGUUCUGCAUCAAGCACUUCUUGUAACUCUGCACUACUGCCGGUGGAUUGUUUGAUUUUAAGAAUAGCAGCAAUAAUAUGAACAAUCCAAGCAAGCUUGGCCUCAAUAACAGAAAGUUCAUUGCCAUCGGUGGUCUGUACUCUUGCUCUCUCCGUGUAUGUUCGCAGAAUAGGCUCCAUCAUGUUCAUUAUAUAUAAACCACUGCUUUCAUACUGGAAUCUACAGAGAUAAGGAAAGCAAUCUAGCUGAUCCUGAAGAAGUUCAACAUUGUCUAAAGGAUUGUCAGAGAGAUCAUCCGGGAAUCCAGCCUGAACAGAGUUGAACCUUGAUGUAAUAAAUCCUUCAGUAAUCUUGGGCACAAAUUCAUCAAGCAAACUUGGUGCAUCACCUUUCAAAUAUGGUACUGAUGUCACUAGUCUGGACCAAAGCCCUAAAAGGUAGUAGACACUACUACUGGCCCACUGAUAGACAUUAAAACAAUUAGCAAUUUAAGUCACAGAAUGCAUCAUCAAUCUUAAAAUUCAAGGCUCGAUAAAAGAAAAGAAUUAAAAUACAUGAAAUUAAAAACUAGAUAAAAUAUACAUCAAGCAAUUUAAGUCACAGAAGGCAUCAUCAAUCUUGAAGUUUAAGGCUUGAUAAUAGAAAAGAAUUAAAAUCCAUGAAAUUAAAAACUAGAUAUAAUAUACAUCAAACAAUAUUUACACAUGAUUAUCCAUCAAAUUUUUGGGAAACAAAGUUGUGAACACCAAUCAACCUGCCAAGACUGCAAAGACUUUAUAGUGAACUCUGCUACUAAUCGUAUCCAAUCACCAUAGCCGUCCACAUUCACAAGCUCUGAUAACUGAUAGUUCACUCUGAAACGUCCAAGGAGACGACAAUACUCAUGGUAAUUAUCAUGAUCAGUAAGACCUUGUCCAGUUUGUAGGAUUUCUUUGGUUAGUGUCAUUAAAUGCGCCAAAAACUUAGAACGAGCAGCAUCAUUUGAGAACAAAGAGCGACGUACAGAUGCUAGCCGGACCAAACACUCCAAUGCCUCCUUUGAAAGAGGGGAUGUUGCGAUAGCAUAGUAAUCAAAAAAUAUCUGCAAUGUCGAUGGAUCCUCUAAAACUGGCCUCCAAGAUGAUGGAAUCUGAACAGUACCAAAUUCCUCCGAACUUUCAUCAAUCGAUGUCCCAACAAAAUCAAACGAUAAACAUUUUAGAGAAAGCGAAAGUGCCAACUCUUGCAAUCGCAUUGCAACAUCAUUUUUCAAUUGUCGCAGUGAGGUUAAAGAUAUUUGGAAUAUUUGGUAAAGUGACUGAUCCCUAAAGGAGCAGGCUACCCUUCGAUGGUGCGUUGAAGGCAGCCCUGUAUUGGGCUGAGAAUUUAAGUAUCAAAGACACACAUGUAGAUGUCAGUAAACAGAUAUUUAUGAAAAUAGAAAAUGCAGUAGCAUCAGUAACAGUAGCAAUGAUAGAAGUUGUGGAAGAGAUUAAUAAAAGAGAUCACAUUCCAAUUGAAAAAUUAGUUGCAUUGUAUAUGAUUCUGAUGGUGAAGGUCAUAUGUGAGGGGCUUUCAUCAACGUGUGACAACAUGUCUGAAUGAAUUGUUCAAAACAAUUUGUACAACUAGUAGCAUGCUACAAGAAAACUAUUAUAUGCAGGAAUUAUCGGGCUCAUUCACUAUUUAUAUACAAAGAGUGCACUAUACACAGUAUGGUCUAAACAUAGGCCCUUCAUCUCAAAAAUUAGUCAAAUUUCUCCAUUCUCUCAAGCAAAUGGAUGACUCAUGACACUCCUAUUGAUACACAGCGCAUUCUGUGUGUUGCACGUUGUCAAAACAAGCGCCAUAGGUACAUCAGGAUUGCAAUGCUUGAAUAAUUUUUCAUCUGCUUUUAUGUGGCAGCUUAGCUAAAUAAGCAUUAAUUUAAUGACGAUGAGCUACAAAUCUUUGGAAAAAAGAUACAUUAUCUUUUAAAAAAAAAAAUUAGAAUCAUAAAUAUUCUGUGCAGCAUGCACUAUACUAUAUAUACUUUUAGGUAUCUUUUGCUCCUUCCAGAGUUUACAUAUUUUAUUUUCUAAUGCAGUGUUGAGAAAUUUUGACAAAUGUAAUAAACUAACCUGAUUCAUCUCAGAGACAAGUUGAUUCAGUAUCUUCAAACCAAUGGCAUAGUGAUCUGAUGUUGCCUGACUCAAGAAGUUUGUAGACUCCUUAACCACUUCUCUAAAUCUAUCAUCAUCAAACCACCCGAACUUGGUAACUCUACACAACAGCUGGAUUAGAGAUGCGGUAACGAAAGGCUGCAACUCAGGUCCUCUGGUGGCCAGAUAGCCAACAAGGUAAUUACGAAUAUCCAGACGGAGCUGUAGCGAGAGGCUAUGCUCGGUAACUUGCUUGAGCAGACUAGAACUAGCGAGCAUCAAUGCAUAAGGAGUCAAUGCAUUAUCAAGAAUGUACUGGCAUUGAGAGAUGUAAUCAGUGUUCAUCGAGAAGCAUUUCAGAGUGUUCUCCGCGUGAGCUCUCUCCACAGAAUCCUGUGAGUUAUACAGCCUCUCACACAAUGCUUCUAGUUGCGCUAAGCUCUCCAUCAUCACUUCUUCCAACCAACCUGAAAACAACGACAACCUUCAUCAAUACAAACGUGAUCAAAACGAAGAAUCUGAAAAUUCGUAAGUAAACAAGAAAAGUCUGCUUCAUUUAACCAAAAAACAAUCGAAUACUAACAAAUACAAAUUAAAAGUAAAAUCUCUAGGGUUUUUGAAGCAUCAACAAAGAUCAAAACAAACGCCGCAAACAAAAUCGCCACAAUGCAGAAUCACUUCCGUGCGAUUCCAAGCGGAAAAAAAAAAUUUUUAAAUCGCGAAUUACUACAGAAAACGAAGGCGAAAUAAUCGAAGAAAAUGAAACUGAAGCUGGAAAUGAAACGAUUGAUCACAGGCUCGCAUCACCAGAAGUUCAUAACAGAGACCAAAAACAGAGAUAGAUACAGAGAGGUAUAGAGAGGGAUUACCUUUGGACCAGAGAUCUAGAAACUAAAGAUUAAUCAACUAAAUUGAGAAGAAAAUAUAGAACAUCAAAGAGAGAAUGCUAUUCCUUUUUAGCU
rnacentral:misc_RNA from 1 species